AUUGAACGCUGGCGGCAGGCCUAACACAUGCAAGUCGAACGGUAGCACAGAGAGCUUGCUCUCGGGUGACGAGUGGCGGACGGGUGAGUAACGUCUGGGAAACUGCCCGAUGGAGGGGGAUAACUACUGGAAACGGUAGCUAAUACCGCAUAACGUCGCAAGACCAAAGUGGGGGACCUUCGGGCCGCACACCAUCCGAUGUGCCCAGAUGGGAUUAGAUAGUAGGUGGGGUAAUGGCUCACCUAGGCGACGAUCCCUAGCUGGUCUGAGAGGAUGACCAGCCACACUGGAACUGAGACACGGUCCAGACUCCUACGGGAGGCAGCAGUGGGGAAUAUUGCACAAUGGGCGCAAGCCUGAUGCAGCCAUGCCGCGUGUAUGAAGAAGGCCUUCGGGUUGUAAAGUACUUUCAGCGGGGAGGAAGGCGGUGAAGUUAAUAACUUCACCGAUUGACGUUACCCGCAGAAGAAGCACCGGCUAACUCCGUGCCAGCCGCCGCCGUAA
rnacentral:rRNA from 1 species